GAACCCAGAGCCUUGAGGAUGCCAAGCACAUACUCUUAUCACUGAGCUACAUUGUAGCCCGAAACUAUUUUAAUUCAUUUGAAAAUAACAAUUAUAAAGCUAUUCCAUGAUGACACUUAGGCAUUUUUUGGAAAAAUGUACUUAUGAAAAGCAUGAAAUAAUUUAAAAAUUUUUUCUAAACAAAAAUAUUUAGUGAGAAAGUUUUAUUGUUCUACUUUUUCCCCAAAAUUUCUUCGAUGUUGGCCUGGUAGACGAUAGCUGGAUUCUAUGAUACAAUAUUGGACUAGGGUAUAGCUCAGUGGUAGCUUAGCAUGUGUAAGGCCUUAGGUUCAGUCCCUAGUACUAUACGGAAAAAAGAAAUUGUAAUGUAAUCUCUUCCUUUGGGUGAAGUAUAUGAAAAAAGCCUGGUUUCAUAUAUACAUAGAAUUAGAAAAGGAAUAUUUUAAUAUCUUUUCAUAUAGUUGUGAACAUCACACUAAAAGUCAACAAGUGGCAAUUUUUUAAAGGUUAGUUGCCAUAUGGAAUAUGAAAACACACCAGCAAACUUAAUUUAUUCUCUCCAUUAAAAUCCUGUACUUUGAAUAUAUCACUUACCCAUUCAUAACUCUGUAACACUAUAUACUCAUUAUUUGGAAAAUAAUUGUGCACUGAGUUAUCCAGGUCUUUCAAAUGUUAAAUUUCACAAACAUCAGAAAAUCCUUUUUAAGUAUUGGAAAGUUCUGCUUACUGUGGCUUUUCAAAGUCCUAAUUUUCACAGGAAUCUUGGAUUUUAUCCUUAGUAAUAAAUACGUACUCUUGUAAUAGCAUCAGAAAGCAUUCCCGAUGGCUCACUGUUUACAACUUUAUUUCUCUAUGCUCCAUAGAGCUAUAGGCUAUUUGGUUCACCAAUUAAUCUCUUGAAAUUAGCAUAUAACAUAUAAUAUUUCUUCAAUAAAGAGUUAAUACAUUAAUAUGAGAGGGGAUUUUUUAAAAAAAGAAUAGGUAAGAAAUUAUUCUAGGAGACCUUAAAUAUUUUAUUGUUUCCAUUCAAAAACAUGUUUGCUUGCCUUUCUUUCUUUCUCUUUCUUUCUUUUUCUUUUUCUUUCUUUCUUUUUUUUCUUUCUCUCGCUCUUUCUUUCUUUCUUCUUUCCUUUCCUUAAUUUCUUUUUGUUUUAUUUUGAGACAGAGUCUUGCUAUGGAGUCCAGGCUGGCCUUGAAUUCCCAGCAAUCCUCUUGCCUCAGCCUCUCAAGUGCUAGGAUUACAGGCAUGUGCCAUCACGCCUGGCUAAAAACAUGCAUUUUUUUUUUUUUUUUUUUUUGGUACUAGGGAUCGAACUCGGGUCUUGGCGCUUGCGCAGCAGGCGGUGAAACCACUGAGCUAAAUCUCUGGCCCCAAAACAUGCAUAUUUUAAAGAAAACUGAGCUACUUGUAUUAAUCAGGACUCCUUCAGCUGCAAGUGACAACCAACCAGUGAAUGUAGCUUCAAAGACUGAAGAUGUAGUUUAGGGGCAGAGCAUUUGGCUAGUAUGUGUGAGGCCCUGAGUUAGUUCCCCAGUACUGCAGGGGAAAAAAAAAAUCAGUAAAAAAGAGGAACGUAUUGGUUCACAUAACUGAGAGUCUAAGGAUUAACACUGAAUACACAUGCACCUGGAUGCCUAGAUAAUGUCAGUGGGAAUUUUUGUUUCAGCUUUGUCCUUCUUCUGUAUUACCUCCACCUCAUCCCUCUGCAGUCAGACUUGGGACAAGCAAUGGCCCUAGUAACCCUAGGCUCAUAGGCCUAAAAGGAUUUUUAAUUUCAAAAAGAAGAGAAUUCCUUCCUGAUAGUUCCAAUAAAAAGUUCUAACAAUGCUCAUCAUGGCCUACAUCAGAUAACACGUCCAUACCUGAACCAGGAGAAUGUAAUAUUGUGAUUAGUCACUUGGGCCCCCUGGGCUCAGUGGAGCAAGGAAAGUUCUUGAAAGGAAAGUCAGGCAGCUAAGACCUUAAAAAGGAAUGAGCACCAGGAAGCCAAAACAAAAGUUGUCCAUUCUACCAACUAUACAGAAAAAUUAUUUGAAGAAGAAUGAAACAGAUUUUUUUUUUUGGUACCAGGGAUAGAACUCAGGACCUUGUGUGGCAGGCUCGGUGCCACUCAGCUACAUCCCCAGCCCAAGAAUGAUACAGAUUUUUAAAAUAGCACAUAAGGUAUUUACCCCUGAGAAAAGUCAAGAGUAAAGAAAAAUUUCCCAACUUAGAAAAAUGAGAUAUCAAUUACAGAAAAGACAUAAUUUGAGCCAUGAGAUAAUAACAAUAUUAUGAAUAUAACAGAACUAUUGUCAAAUUUACAGUAGCUGAUCCAAGAACUAAUUUAUACAAGUAGAGAAUUAAUAUAAGUAUAGCUCCUGCACCAAUGAACAGGCUAUUUCAAGCCCCAUUACGUUAUUUUAUUCUUAAGCACUGAAAAUCAGUCUCAUAUAGCUGGCAUAAUUAAAAAUUGGGUCUCAGAGGGCCGGGGAUUUAGCUCAGUGGUUUUGCUGCCUGCUGCACAAGCACAAGGACUGGAGUUCAAUCCCUGGUACCAAAAAAAAAAAAAAAAAAAAAAAAAAUUGGGUCUCGGGCUGGGGAAUUAGCUCAGUGGUUCUGCCACCUGCCUCGAAAGCACAAGGUCCCAAGUUGAAUCCCCGGUACCAAAACAAAACAAAACAAAAAACCAAAAAUUGGGUCUCAUUUAGUUGUCAGUCAAGGUCCCUAAAGUCCCUUUAGUUUGAAUGAUGAAAAUGCCUACUCUGAUUUGAAUACUAGUGAUUAGUGGCAGCUUCAGGACUUCUGCUGUUGCUUUUCAGCUACCAGCAUCUGGCCUGGGUCAGUCAGUCAGUAGUGACGUUUGUGGACCUGUGUAGUUGGAGUCUCAGCCCCACCAUGUGGUGAAGCUUGGAAUUGUUUGCUUCCCUUCAAAGGCAGCACCUGCGGAUUAAAAACAAGUUAAAGAGGAUUAUGAGGGUAAGUCAGAAUUUGAAAAAUAUAAUAGUUGUUUUCUAUAUCUAAUUUAUUCAAAACAUAGAUGAAAUUGAAAACAUUACAAAUAAAAGUUUUAAUAUUUUCUUUAAUAUCCUGCCCCUUUGAAUGUAUUCCCUAGAUACAUAGAUAUGCCCCAUUUUGGAGAUUGCUGAUCCACAGAAAUUUUCACACAUAUUUCCUUAUAGAUGAACAAUGUUCAUUGAGGCAACUUUGUAUAUUUUGUUUUCUUUUUUUUUCCUGGUACUGGGGAUAGAAUUCAGGACCUUACGCUUGCUUGCAAGGCAGGUGCAGUGCCACUGAGGUAAAUUCCCAGCCCUGUAUAUUUGGUUUUAUGAGACAGGGUCUCCGUAUGUAGUCCCAGCCAGCCUUGAAUUCACUAAGUAGCCCAGGAUGGUCUCCAACUUGGUAUCCUGGUUCAAGCUCCCAAGUGCUGGGACUACAGGCAUGUGCUACCAUGUCCUUUGAGGCAAUUGUUUUUAAUAGUGAAAAAAUUAGAAGCAACAUAAAUGUCCAUUAACAGACAAAUAGUGAAUUUGUAAUAGUAUUCAUUGAAA
rnacentral:lncRNA from 1 species